GGGGAAUAUUCCGCAAUGGACGAAAGUCUGACGGAGCAACGCCGCGUGAGUGAUGAAGGUUUUCGGACUGUAAAACUCUGUUGUUUAGGACGAAAGUGCCUGUUGCAAAUAGUUGCAGGUAUUGACGGUACUGAACGAGGAAGCCACGGCUAACUACGUGCCAGCAGUCGCGGUAAUACGUAGGUGGCAAGCGUUGUCCGGAAUUAUUGGGCGUAAAGAGCAUGUAGGUGGAUACUUAAGUCUGUUGUGAAAAUGCGGGGCUUAACCCCGUAUUGCGAUGGAAACUGGGUGUCUUGAGUGCAGGAGAGGAAAGGGGAAUUCCCAGUGUAGCGGUGAAAUGCGUAGAUAUUGGGAGGAACACCAGUGGCGAAGGCGCCUUUCUGGACUGUGUCUGACACUGAGAUGCGAAAGCUAGGGGAGCGAAC
rnacentral:rRNA from 1 species